rnacentral:tRNA from 1 species
GGGCCUGUAGCUCAUCUGGGAGAGCGCUACAAUCGCACUGUAGAGGCAAAGGGUUCGAAUCCCUUCAGGUCCACCA